rnacentral:rRNA from 1 species
UUUUAUGAGAGUUUGAUCCUGGCUCAGGACGAACGCUGGCGGCGUGCCUAAUACAUGCAAGUCGAACGCUUCUUUUUCCACCGGAGCUUGCUCCACCGGAAAAAGAAGAGUGGCGAACGGGUGAGUAACACGUGGGUAACCUGCCCAUCAGAAGGGGAUAACACUUGGAAACAGGUGCUAAUACCGUAUAACAAUCAAAACCGCAUGGUUUUGAUUUGAAAGGCGCUUUCGGGUGUC